GUAUAGGGGAGCCGCAGGGAAACCGAGUCUUAACCGGGCGUUAAGUUGCAGGGUAUAGACCCGAAACCCGGUGAUCUAGCCAUGGGCAGGUUGAAGGUUGGGUAACACUAACUGGAGGACCGAACCGACUAAUGUUGAAAAAUUAGCGGAUGACCUGUGGCUGGGGGUGAAAGGCCAAUCAAACCGGGAGAUAGCUGGUUCUCCCCGAAAGCUAUUUAGGUAGCGCCUCGUGAACUCAUCUCCGGGGGUAGAGCACUGUUUCGGCUAGGGGGCCAUCCCGGCUUACCAACCCGAUGCAAACUGCGAAUACCGGAGAAUGUUAUCACGGGAGACACACGGCGGGUGCUAACGUCCGUCGUGAAGAGGGAAACAACCCAGACCGCCAGCUAAGGUCCCAAAGUCAUGGUUAAGUGGGAAACGAUGUGGGAAGGCCCAGACAGCCAGGAUGUUGGCUUAGAAGCAGCCAUCAUUUAAAGAAAGCGUAAUAGCUCACUGGUCGAGUCGGCCUGCGCGGAAGAUGUAACGGGGCUAAACCAUGCACCGAAGCUGCGGCAGCGACGCUGAUGCGUUGUUGGGUAGGGGAGCGUUCUGUAAGCCUGUGAAGGUGGCCUGUGAGGGUUGCUGGAGGUAUCAGAAGUGCGAAUGCUGACAUAAGUAACGAUAAAGCGGGUGAAAAGCCCGCUCGCCGGAAGACCAAGGGUUCCUGUCCAACGUUAAUCGGGGCAGGGUGAGUCGACCCCUAAGGCGAGGCCGAAAGGCGUAGUCGAUGGGAAACGGGUUAAUAUUCCCGUACUUGGUGUUACUGCGAAGGGGGGACGGAGAAGGCUAUGUUGGCCGGGCGACGGUUGUCCCGGUUUAAGCGUGUAGGUGUGUGUUCCAGGUAAAUCCGGUUCACUUUAACACUGAGGCGUGAUGACGAGGCACUACGGUGCUGAAGCAACAAAUGCCCUGCUUCCAGGAAAAGCCUCUAAGCAUCAGGUAACAUCAAAUCGUACCCCAAACCGACACAGGUGGUCAGGUAGAGAAUACCAAGGCGCUUGAGAGAACUCGGGUGAAGGAACUAGGCAAAAUGGUGCCGUAACUUCGGGAGAAGGCACGCUGACACGUAGGUGAAGUGAUUUACUCAUGGAGCUGAAGUCAGUCGAAGAUACCAGCUGGCUGCAACUGUUUAUUAAAAACACAGCACUGUGCAAACACGAAAGUGGACGUAUACGGUGUGACGCCUGCCCGGUGCCGGAAGGUUAAUUGAUGGGGUCAGCGCAAGCGAAGCUCCUGAUCGAAGCCCCGGUAAACGGCGGCCGUAACUAUAACGGUCCUAAGGUAGCGAAAUUCCUUGUCGGGUAAGUUCCGACCUGCACGAAUGGCGUAAUGAUGGCCAGGCUGUCUCCACCCGAGACUCAGUGAAAUUGAACUCGCUGUGAAGAUGCAGUGUACCCGCGGCAAGACGGAAAGACCCCGUGAACCUUUACUAUAGCUUGACACUGAACAUUGAGCCUUGAUGUGUAGGAUAGGUGGGAGGCUUUGAAGUGUGG
rnacentral:rRNA from 1 species